ensembl:snoRNA
GACCUUUUGCAGCUCAUAAGCAUGAUGAUUUGGUUUCAUGCUCAUGUGUGAGAUGUGCUUCCCUCAAACCUUGUUACAGCAUCAUCACAUUACCUGUUUGAUG